rnacentral:rRNA from 1 species
UCUGGCUCAGGAUGAACGCUAGCGGCAGGCUUAAUACAUGCAAGUCGUGGGGCAGCAUGAGUGUAGCAAUACAUUUGAUGGCGACCGGCAAACGGGUGCGGAACACGUACUGAACCUUCCUUUAAGUGGGGAAUAGCCCAGAGAAAUUUGGAUUAAUACCCCGUAAUAUAUAGAAGUGGCAUCACUUUUAUAUUAAAGCUCCGGCGCUUAAAGAUGGCAGUGCGGCUGAUUAGGUAGUUGGCGGGGUAACGGCCCACCAAGCCGACGAUCAGUAACUGGUGUGAGAGCACGACCAGUCACACGGGCACUGAGACACGGGCCCGACUCCUACGGGAGGCAGCAGUAAGGAAUAUUGGUCAAUGGACGCAAGUCUGAACCAGCCAUGCCGCGUGGAGGAUGAAGGUCCUCUGGAUUGUAAACUUCUUUUAUCUGGGAAGAAACCCAUCUUUUCUUGGAUGGUUGACGGUACCAGAUGAAUAAGCACCGGCUAACUCCGUGCCAGCAGCCGCGGUAAUACGGAGGGUGCAAGCGUUAUCCGGAUUCACUGGGUUUAAAGGGUGCGUAGGUGGGCAGGUAAGUCAGCGGUGAAAUCUCCGGGCUUAACCCGGAAACUGCCAUUGAUACUAUCUGUCUUGAAUACCCUGGAGGUGAGCGGAAUAUGUCAUGUAGCGGUGAAAUGCUUAGAUAUGACAUAGAACACCCAUUGCGAAGGCAGCUCACUACGGGAAUAUUGACACUGAGGCACGAAAGCGUGGGGAUCAAACAGGAUUAGAUACCCUGGUAGUCCACGCCCUAAACGAUGGAUACUCGACAUCAGCGAUAAACUGUUGGUGUCUGAGCGAAAGCAUUAAGUAUCCCACCUGGGAAGUA